rnacentral:rRNA from 1 species
AUUGAACGCUGGCGGCAUGCCUUACACAUGCAAGUCGAACGGCAGCACGGGUGCUUGCACCGGUGGCGAGUGGCGAACGGGGGAGGAAUACAUCGGAACACGUCCUGUAGUGGGGGAUAGGCCGGCGAAAACCGGAAUUAUACCGCAUACGAAACACGGACGAAAGGGGGGGGCCUUCGGGCCUCGCGCCUUAGGGUUGGGCGAACGCUGAUUAGCUAGUUGGUGGGGGAAAGGCCUACCAAGGCGACGAUCAGUAAUUGGGCUGAGAGGACGGCCAGCCACACUGGGAAUGGGACACGGCCCAGUCUCCUACGGGAAGGAGCAGGGGGGAAAUUUGGACAAGAGGCGGAAGCCUUAUCCAGCAAUGCCGCGUGUGUGAAGAAGGCCGUCGGGUUGUAAAGCACCUUUGUCCGGAAAGAAAACCUUGACUCUAAUACAGUCGGGGGAUGAAGGUACCGGAAGAAUAAGCACCGGGUAACUACGUGC